UUUUCUUUGAAUCUUUUAAUGCCAAACAGAUUUUACUUAGAACAGCAGAAACUUUUUGAUAUAUAUACUAUUUUUACAUCUAAAAAAGUCGUCAGCACGGAUACCUUUUAUUGAACUUUUCAAACUUAUUGACAGCUACUCGUGUAACAAUCACUGACUCCAUGGUUGUUAAAUUAGAGAAAAAUUAUAUUAAGCAUGUUGAAGCCAAUUUUUUUAAGCCAAAAUUUUUAUAUUAACAC
rnacentral:lncRNA from 1 species